rnacentral:rRNA from 1 species
AUUGAACGCUGGCGGCAUGCUUUACACAUGCAAGUCGAACGGUAACAGGCCUUCGGGUGCUGACGAGUGGCGAACGGGUGAGUAAUGCAUCGGAACGUACCCAGAGGUGGGGGAUAACGCAGCGAAAGCUGUGCUAAUACCGCAUGUGAUCUGAGGAUGAAAGCGGGGGACCGAGCAGCAAUGUUUGGCCUCGCGCCUUUGGAGCGGCCGAUGUCGGAUUAGCUAGUUGGUGGGGUAAAGGCCUACCAAGGCGACGAUCCGUAGCUGGUCUGAGAGGACGACCAGCCACACUGGGACUGAGACACGGCCCAGACUCCUACGGGAGGCAGCAGUGGGGAAUUUUGGAUAAUGGGCGCAAGCCUGAUCCAGCAAUGCCGCGUGCGGGAAGAAGGCCUUCGGGUUGUAAACCGCUUUUGGCAGGAACGAAACGGUGUCCGCUAAUACCGGGCGCUAAUGACGGUACCUGCAGAAUAAGCAUCGGCUAACUACGUG